CCUGAAUGCUUGAUUUUUAUUUGAAAAUAGAAAGAAAUUAUUUCUAUAUAUUCUCAAAUCUUUUCUAUAAUUUUACGUCAUUAUGUAAAAAUCUCAAUCAAUAGUUGGAAAUAUAGAAAAGAGAGGUUCAGCUGAUAAUAUAAUGCAUCAGAGACACCCAGCCCUUAUUGCAAUUUUUGCAAAUGCAUUAAUAUAAUCAAC
rnacentral:lncRNA from 1 species